ACAGCUGAAUUCAAAGGCAAAUUAAAUGCUCUCAAAAUUGGAGAUAUAAUUCUCUCUAACUUCCCGCAAAUAGAUAACAAAAUUAUUAGUAUUGAUUCUAUAGGUCGGAAUAGGAUUAGAAUCAAGUUAAAAGAUUAUAAAUCAGCGAAUUUUCUAAUAACUCA
rnacentral:lncRNA from 1 species